UGGCGGCUUCCUGUCAUUUGGAUGUGAGAGUAGCAUGGGAGCUUCAAUGAAUACCGAAUUGGGAUCGUAUAGAAGCUCAGAGGCUGCACCUGUCAUUCACAUAGACAGUUUAGCCAUUGUCAAAGCAGCAAUUUCGACUGGCACAGAAACGCUCAUCUGAAUGUCAUCUGUCAAUGUCGU
rnacentral:lncRNA from 1 species